rnacentral:rRNA from 1 species
UACGUAGGGGCCGAGCGUUGUCCGGAUUCAUUGGGCGUAAAGAGCGUGUAGGCGGCCGCUUAAGUCCUGCGUGAAAUCUCGGAGCUCAACUCCGAGCGGUCGUGGGAAACUGGGCGGCUAGAGUGCGGGAGAGGGUAGUGGAAUUCCCGGUGUAGUGGUGAAAUGCGUAGAUAUCGGGAGGAACACCAGUGGCGAAGGCGACUACCUGGCCUGUUCUUGACGCUGAGGCGCGAAAGCUAGGGGAGCAAACGGG